rnacentral:lncRNA from 1 species
UCAUAUCAUCAUGUUGUAAGAGAGAUGGGAAGAUAAAUAAGAUACACCUCCUGCUUUUUGAGAGCAGAUAGCACACACAAAAUAUGAAAUAGCAAUAUGAGAGACAACCCAUGGCCACACCCAAGGCUCCUUUUUACCAAAGCCAGAAAUAUAAAAAUGAAGGGGUUGCCUCUUGUAAUUUGAAAAAAGUAGUUUUGCAUAACAAAAAGAAACUAUUUUGUUUACAAUGAAUAGUAAAGUUAAAAAAUGUAAGGAAAUAUGGGACAGAUUUAAAAAUAUGAGCAGAUGCUGAUGGAUCUAGAAAUACAGAUGUAAGAUUUAUCACAGGUUAUUAGAUUUAUUAUAGAUCUGUGAAAGAUUACACAAUCUUCCCAAACUCUUCCAGCCCACACAAUGGAGACCAAUGCCAGAGGCCAAGCAAUUCCAGUUUUCUUAUGUAAUCAUGAUUGUACACAGAGGACGAGACUUAGCUGAACCAAGAGAGUUUAUGCUAAACACCCUCGCUAACCAUUGAGAGAAAUCAUUCCUUGGGAAAAGAGUGAGCAUUUCCACUGGAAAAGGGGGUUUUGAAAAGAAAAUACAGGGGUUCAAAAUCCGAAGUGGAACCCAAGAGGACAGCAACACCUGGAGUGGAAUAAAACAAUCUCAACCCCUCUCGCCGAGUGUGCCGCUUCUCAAAGUGCACUUCAUUGAUUUGCAGUCAGCUGUCAGAUCGUUUGAUCAGAUUUCAUCUAGUUCAGUGCUGUGCACACCCAGAGGGCCCUUGAUAAAUGCAUGAUACAUCAAAUGAAUGG